rnacentral:rRNA from 1 species
UGUUAUAUGUGUCAUACGAGACUGCCGGUAAAAAGCCGGAGGAAGGUGAGGAUGAUGUCAAGUCAGCAUGACCUUUAUAUCCAGGGCUACACACACGCUACAAUGGUCUGUACAAUGGGUAGCCAAGCCGCGAGGCGGAGCCAAUCCUGAAAGCAGGCCUCAGUUCAGAUUGCAGUCUGCAACUCGACUGCAUGAAGCCGGAGUUGCUAGUAACCGCAGGUCAGCAAUACUGCGGUGAAUACGUUCCCGGGUCUU